AUUUGUCUGACGAGUCCCAAAUUGGACGAAACGCGCGUCCUGGAU
rnacentral:hammerhead_ribozyme from 1 species